CAAAUAGAUCGCUAGGGUUCCGGCGUUAUAGACAACGUGACUGGUCCGAGAGCAAUCGACCUUCAUUCGGAGGUUACACGGCGGGAUAAAAGCCCGGGAGGU
rnacentral:sRNA from 1 species